AAGAAAAUGCAUGACUCCAGAAAUUCUUGAAUAAAGCCAGAGCUAUGAUUUAAAGAGUUGACUGAUGGGAUGUAAUAAAGCACUUGGAGAAAGCCUGAAGACUGAAUGGUUUCAGUCUCCUGAAGGAAACAGUCAGGAUUAGUUUUCUAUGAGAAGAGAAAGGUAUAGAAAGAUAAAAGAAAUGAUUACAUCAUGCUUUGUGAAAGACAUAAAUAUGUGGUCCAACUGUGGGGCACUGUGGGGUUAUAAGAGAUGCCCUGAUGUACAGAUCAUAUGACUUGACUCCAUCAGAAAGUGAGAGAUGCUCUCCAUGCUGCAGGGUGUGUGAUAUUGGGCAAAACACUGUCUCCCUUUGUGCUUCAAGGGCCUGGCUGAUUAUCUCUAGACCCCUUUGGGUUAUGCCAUGACCUGAAGAGAUGGAUUGAUUUUGGCUUGGACUUACUCGAAACGUUUCUAGGUUAGGUGCUGUCUAUAAGCUACCAGCUUCUACAUCAAAGGGAUCAGCAGACAUACUAGACAUUGAAUAUCAGGAAUCAGUCAUUCUGCAUGAAAUUUGCAAUAUACUAGUGUCUUCAUCAAUUUUCCUUUAGCAGAAAGUAUAGUAGAGCCUUAGGAGGAACUGAGGUCCCUACAGCCCACUUCCUAAUCUUGAUGAGGUCACUAACUUUGAUAGUCUUCCCUUCCCGAAACCUGCCUUGCCUGAACACCAUAUUUAAUCAACUCCCAGAUUCUGCAGUACCACAUUCUAAAUAUAUCUCCACACCAUUCUUUGUUCUUUUUCUCCACUUUUAGUGCCCAAGGCGAGCUUCUCACCCUUGAUCUUGGUUCUACUGACAUAUACGUAUGGAAAUGGUUGGACUCUGAGGCUCCAUGUCUUGCUCUCUACAUAACCACUAGAAAGUACUAAAAGCAGUAAUCUGCAAUAAGGACAAAUGGAUACAGUCCCUGAUGGCCGGGGAGCUUCUCAAAAUGCUUAUGGAAGUGUGAAGAUAUUUGGGACAAGACCAGGAAAAUAAACACAGAAUGUUUAAAACAUCAUAACCCUUCGCAUGAAAAUGGGCUUCGAAGAGGAAACGAUGGGAGACCAGUCCCGUAUCACCCGCAGACCGGAACAUCGGUGAGUCCCCGUGAAGCCCACAGCUGCAGGAGCAUCAGUGAAAAUCUGCAAACAUCUGGAGACAAAGCACAGUCCUCUGUGUCUGGAAAUCCAAUAUCAGAAUUGUGCCAAGCACAUGAUGGCUUUACCAAUUUGCACAAUUACUGAGGAGAAGGAGCACAGCAGAUGUCGAUACUUGGGGAAAUCAUUCACACCUGAAAAAUGAACAUCGCUAAUGUUUUUCUACAUUAAUUCAGAUUACUUUAUAUAUUAGCCCACCAGCUUGCGGGAUGAAAGCUCAACGAGACACUCAUCUAAAAAGUGAUGUAAAUGAUACUAAAUUAAAGCAAGACUUAGAAAUGUAGGAAGAGGGGGCUCUGCGGCGGAUUUGCCUGUGAUGACAUACACGAGCGGGAUCGCUUGUUUGAUCCUGCAGCAUCUGAGGCCUGUUUUUUUUCCCCCCCAAUAGUCACAUAAAACACAUGAAAUGAAAGAAAAGCAAUUCAGGUUUUUUAGUUCACUAAAUUUUGACAGCUAAGAAUCCCCUGG
rnacentral:lncRNA from 12 species